rnacentral:rRNA from 1 species
AAUAAGGGCGUAUGGAGGAUGCCUUGACUAAGAAAGGCGAUGAAGGACGCGGCGUAACUGCGAUAAGCUCCGGGGAGGUGUGUAGCAACCUUUGAUCCGAAGAUUUCCGAAUGGGGAAACCCAAUACAGUAGACCUGUAUUACCUGAGCACUAGAUGCCAGGAGCGCACCCGCUGAAGUGAAACAUCUCAGUAAGCGGAGGAGUAGAGAACAAAAGUAAUUCCCCUAGUAGCGGCGAGCGAAACGGGAGGAGCCCAAACCGAUUGAAGGGGAGUAAAAAAUUCAUUGGUUAGCCGAAGUUGCUGGAAAGCAACGCCAUAGCGGGUGAUAGCCUCGUAGGCGAAAACUAAUGAACUCUCUCGUUUCUGCACCUGAGUAUCUCAGUAAAUGAACAAGCUGAGAGAAUCCACCAGAACUAUCUGGUAAGGCUAAAUACUUUCUUAGAUCGAUAGUGAACUAGUACCGCGAGGGAAAGGUGAAAAGCAGGCCGAGAUCUGAAACCAUACGCCUACAAGGACUCGGAGCACGUUUUCGAACGUGUGACGUGGUGCCUAUUGAAGAAUGAGCCAACGAGUUUAGAUAGAUCGUUUGUCUAAGUUUUACGAAACGGAGGCAAAGGGAAACCAAGUCUUAAUAGGGCGCCAAGACGGUUUAUCUAAGACCCGAAGCCAAGCGAGCUUACCCUGGCCAGGUUGAAGUCACUGUAAGAGGUGAUGGAGGACCGAACCGGUUGAUUGUGCAAAAUCUUCGGAUGAGCUGGGGUAAGAAGUGAAAAGCUAAUCGAGCUUGGUAAUAGCUGGUUCUCUCCGAAACAGUUUUUGGACUGGCGGUAGUGAAAAGUAUCAGAGGGGUAGAGCUACUGGAUCGAGUGUAAUGGGGGCAACCUCGGCACUCGAAUCAAACUCCGAAUACUCUGAUUUAGAACGCUACUAGUUAGACUGCGGGGGCUAAGCUCCGUGGUCGAAAGGGAAACAGCCCUGAUCGCCGUCUAAGGUCCCUAAAUCUAUGCUAAGUGUUAAAGGUAGUAAUUCUCCAUUGACAGAUAGGAGGUUGGCUCAGAGGUAGCCAUCCUUUAAAGAGUGUGUAACAACUCACUAUUCGACGGAGAGUUGCGCCGAAAAUAUACCGGGGCUAAGCAUAGUACCGAAGACGCGAAUUCGUCACUUCCUUCGGGAAGUGGGGAGUGGUAGGAGAGCAUUCUGAUUGCGCUGAAGGUUUAUCUGUGAGGAGGACUGGAGCGGUCAGAAGAGAGAAUGUUGGCAUGAGUAACCACAAUGAUGGUGAGAAACCAUCACGCCGUAAAUCUAAGGUUUCCUCCGCAAUGGCAAUCAACGGAGGGUUAGGCGAUCCUAAGUCGAUGGCGAAAGCCGCAGAUGAAGGGUUAGCGGUUAAUAUUCCGCGCCAUCUACAUAAUUCGAUGGAGGGACGGAGAACAUAAGUUUGAGUGCCUUAAUGGUUUGGCAUUUCUUAUUUCAAGUCAGGUAUUCUAGGCAAAUCCGGAAUACUGCUUUAAUGCAACUGGCGGAGAUUGGAUGAAGAUCUUGCUUCGGCUUGGUCAACUCAGAUGAAGAGUCUUCCUAGAAAAGCUUCUAAGAUUAGUUAUGUAGAUAUCGUACCGUAAACCGACACAGGUGGAUGAGGCGAGUAGCCUCAGGCGAACGAGUGAUUUUUCCUUAAGGAACUCGGCAAAAAAGCGGCCGUAAGUUAGCGAUAAGGCCUGCCCACAGCAAUGUGGGCCGCAGCGAAAGUAUCCCUAGCGACUGUUUACUACAAACACAGCUUCCUGCUAACUCGCAAGAGGAUGUAUAGGAGGUGACACCUGACCGAUGCGAGAAGGUUAAUGCUGUCGGUGCAUGCAGCAAUGUAUGUGCUGAGCGGCUGAAGCCCUCGUCAAUGUCAGCGGUAACUAUAACCGUUCUAAGGUAGCGCAAUUCCUUUCCGGGUAAGUUCCGGAGCGCACGAAUGGUGUAACGACUGGGGAACUGUCUCAAGGAAAAGCUCGGUGAAAAUGCGAUUGCCGUGAAGACGCGGUGUACCUCUAACGGGACGAAAAGACCCCAGGAGCUUUACUAUAGCUUGGUAUUGAUGUUAAGGUUUGACUGCGUAGCAUAGUGGGGAGACUUUGAAGCGAUUCUUUCGGGAUUCGUGGAGUCGCCAGUGAAAUACCCAUCUUUCUUUCUUUACCAUCUAACUCCAACGGCAAAAACGUUGGAAGACAGUGCCUGGUGGGUAGUUUUAAUGGGGCGUUAUCCUCCUAAAGAGUAACGGAGGAGUUUAUUAAGGUCAGCUAAGGUCGGAUGGAAAUCGACCGCAUCGUGUAAAGGCAGAAGCUGGCUUGACUGCAAGUCCUACAAGACGCGCAGGUGCGAAAGCAGAACUUAGUGACCCGACGGUUCAUUAUAGAAAGGCCGGAGACAUCGGCUAAAAGCUACCCUGGGGAUAACAGGCUAGUGAGAUCCGAGAGUCCCUAUCGACGAUCUCGCUCGGCACCUCGAUGUCGGCUCGCCCUAGCGCGGGGCUGGAGAAGGUCCCAAGCGUUUGGCUGUUCGCCAAUUAAAAGGGCACGCGAGCUGGGUUUAAACCGUCGUGAGACAGGUUGGUCUCUAUCUGUUAGAGGCGUUGAUGUUUGAAGGAAGCUGCCCCUUGUACGAGAGGAUCGGGGUGGACGAACCACUGGUCUACCGGCUUUGGUACCAACUGAAAUGCCGGGUAGCUAUGUUCGGACGGGAUAACCGCUGAAAGCAUCUAAGCGGGAAGCCUCUCCUAAGAUUAGACAUCGUUUGAGACUCCUGGAAGACUACCAGGUUGAUAGGCUUCAAGUGUAAGCAUGGUAACAUGUGUUUACU